rnacentral:rRNA from 1 species
GACGAACGCUGGCGGCGUGCUUAACACAUGCAAGUCGUACGGUAAGGCCCUUUCGGGGGUACACGAGUGGCGAACGGGUGAGUAACACGUGAGUAACCUGCCCACAACUUUGGGAUAACGCUAGGAAACUGGUGCUAAUACUGGAUAUGUGCUCCUGCUGCAUGGUGGGGGUUGGAAAGCUCCGGCGGUUGUGGAUGGACUCGCGGCCUAUCAGCUUGUUGGUGGGGUAGUGGCCUACCAAGGCGGCGACGGGUAGCCGGCCUGAGAGGGUGACCGGCCACAUUGGGACUGAGAUACGGCCCAGACUCCUACGGGAGGCAGCAGUGGGGAAUAUUGCACAAUGGGCGCAAGCCUGAUGCAGCAACGCCGCGUGCGGGAUGACGGCCUUCGGGUUGUAAACCGAUUUCAGCAGGGACGAAGCUUUUUGUGACGGUACCUGCAGAAGAAGCACCGGCUAACUACGUG